UUUAUGGAGAGUUUGAUCUUGGCUCAGGACGAACGCUGGCGGCGUGCCUAAUACAUGCAAGUCGAGCGCGGGAAGCAAGCUAAUCCUCUUCGGAGGUGACGCUUGUGGAACGAGCGGCGGACGGGUGAGUAACACGUGGGCAACCUGCCUGUAAGACUGGGAUAACCCCGGGAAACCGGGGCUAAUACCGGAUAAUACUUUUCAUCACCUGAUGAGAAGUUGAAAGGUGGCUUUUAGCUACCACUUACAGAUGGGCCCGCGGCGCAUUAGCUAGUUGGUGAGGUAACGGCUCACCAAGGCAACGAUGCGUAGCCGACCUGAGAGGGUGAUCGGCCACACUGGG
rnacentral:rRNA from 1 species